UGCCUUAAAAAAAAGCCUGAAAAACGGGAGCUCGAGCGGAAGUAACUAUUACAAUUAAAAUUGAUCUAGAAGCUGAAAUAUAUCCUCGAGGUUGAACUACAUUGAACAUUACACGACAUCUGUUGUAAACAAAGUUAUCUCGUGGAUUUCAGUGGAUUAAAAACCAGUCUGGCUAUCGACAAUAGCAGUGGAUGUUACCCCACAGACUGUUUUUUUUUUUUAGGCUUCUCUGGUCCCGGAUCCCUGAUGUUCUUUCCAUUGAGGCUGGAUUCUUCUCUGUUCACCCUGGUGCCUGGUUCCUUGGUCCACUGCCUCAUCUAACAGCGCUGCAACGGUCACAUUGGGUGGUUUGAUAUG